rnacentral:rRNA from 2 species
AGACCCGAAACCCGGUGAUCUAGCCAUGGGCAGGUUGAAGGUUGGGUAACACUAACUGGAGGACCGAACCGACUAAUGUUGAAAAAUUAGCGGAUGACCUGUGGCUGGGGGUGAAAGGCCAAUCAAACCGGGAGAUAGCUGGUUCUCCCCGAAAGCUAUUUAGGUAGCGCCUCGUGAAUUCAUCUCCGGGGGUAGAGCACUGUUUCGGCUAGGGGGCCAUCCCGGCUUACCAACCCGAUGCAAACUGCGAAUACCGGAGAAUGUUAUCACGGGAGACACACGGCGGGUGCUAACGUCCGUCGUGAAGAGGGAAACAACCCAGACCGCCAGCUAAGGUCCCAAAGUCAUGGUUAAGUGGGAAACGAUGUGGGAAGGCCCAGACAGCCAGGAUGUUGGCUUAGAAGCAGCCAUCAUUUAAAGAAAGCGUAAUAGCUCACUGGUCGAGUCGGCCUGCGCGGAAGAUGUAACGGGGCUAAACCAUGCACCGAAGCUGCGGCAGCGAACGUAUCACUUAAAGCGAUUCAGCGGGUUACGAUUGACGGAGCGAAGCGACGUCAAAGCGUAUACAAAGUCGAGUCGGUUUAAGGAUACGUUCGUUGGGUAGGGGAGCGUUCUGUAAGCCUGUGAAGGUGGCCUGUGAGGGUUGCUGGAG